CCAAAACAACACCCCCAUCAGUCUAUCCACUGGCCCCUGGGUGUGGAGAUACAACUGGUUCCUCUGUGACUCUGGGAUGCCUGGUCAAGGGCUACUUCCCUGAGUCAGUGACUGUGACUUGGAACUCUGGAUCCCUGUCCAGCAGUGUGCACACCUUCCCAGCUCUCCUGCAGUCUGGACUCUACACUAUGAGCAGCUCAGUGACUGUCCCCUCCAGCACCUGGCCAAGUCAGACCGUCACCUGCAGCGUUGCUCACCCAGCCAGCAGCACCACGGUGGACAAAAAACUUGAGCCCAGCGGGCCCAUUUCAACAAUCAACCCCUGUCCUCCAUGCAAGGAGUGUCACAAAUGCCCAGCUCCUAACCUCGAGGGUGGACCAUCCGUCUUCAUCUUCCCUCCAAAUAUCAAGGAUGUACUCAUGAUCUCCCUGACACCCAAGGUCACGUGUGUGGUGGUGGAUGUGAGCGAGGAUGACCCAGACGUCCGGAUCAGCUGGUUUGUGAACAACGUGGAAGUACACACAGCUCAGACACAAACCCAUAGAGAGGAUUACAACAGUACUAUCCGGGUGGUCAGUGCCCUCCCCAUCCAGCACCAGGACUGGAUGAGUGGCAAGGAGUUCAAAUGCAAGGUCAACAACAAAGACCUCCCAUCACCCAUCGAGAGAACCAUCUCAAAAAUUAAAGGGCUAGUCAGAGCUCCACAAGUAUACAUCUUGCCGCCACCAGCAGAGCAGUUGUCCAGGAAAGAUGUCAGUCUCACUUGCCUGGUCGUGGGCUUCAACCCUGGAGACAUCAGUGUGGAGUGGACCAGCAAUGGGCAUACAGAGGAGAACUACAAGGACACCGCACCAGUCCUGGACUCUGACGGUUCUUACUUCAUAUACAGCAAGCUCGAUAUAAAAACAAGCAAGUGGGAGAAAACAGAUUCCUUCUCAUGCAACGUGAGACACGAGGGUCUGAAAAAUUACUACCUGAAGAAGACCAUCUCCCGGUCUCCGGGUAAAGGCUAGACCUGGAUGAUAUCUGUGCUGAGGCCAAGGAUGGGGAGCUGGACGGGCUCUGGACGACCAUCACCAUCUUCAUCAGCCUCUUCCUGCUCAGCGUGUGCUACAGCGCCUCUGUCACACUCUUCAAGGUAAAGUGGAUCUUCUCCUCAGUGGUGGAGCUGAAGCAGAAGAUCUCCCCUGACUACAGAAACAUGAUUGGGCAGGGAGCCUAG